CCGUAAUGAGUCUUCCCAUCAUCUCCUGUAUAGUCAGGAAGUCUGCACCUCCCUCCCAAGCCACUGAGGAACUGGGGGCUUUCUGCAUUUCCUUGUCUUUUUAGAGCUUCUCUUGUAGCUCUAAAGCCCUUUACAUUUCAGUGGAUUCUCAUGCUUCUCAUAUCUUCUGUCUCUUAGGGCACAGUCCUUCCAGGUAGUUAAAAGCAUCUGUCAGAUUCCGAAAUCUCCAGUCACUGCCAGCCUCAUCUGAAAUCCCAAGUCACCUGCUCACAGGAUGGAGGAAGCGGAGGACUCUGCUCUGUCCUGGGGUUCCUGAGGCCUGCAGUGAUGUUCCAUGCAAAGGGCCAUCCCCAAGAGGAUAGGAUGGACCAAGAAUUAGGAACAUGCAGAGAAGGGCUUGAGACUUUUUAGGGUCACAGGCUGGUCCAACGGUCUGAGAAAGGGAAGUCCAGACACCUGGCCUCUGCUCUGGACAGAAGCCGAGAAGUGGUCUGCAGAUCAGGAUGCCAUGACUGCCACUCUGGGCAUCUCUCACACGCUCAGCGUGUCUCAGUUCCAUGGUGGGAACCACUGUCCUCAGGAAAAGCUGUUUUCUUUCUGUGUGAAAGUAACCACCCGAAUCCCCAAGGAAACAGGAAGAAAAGGUCGGCAACAAAAUACCUAUUAAAAUUCUCCACAUUUUGGCCAGGCACAGUGACUCUCGCCUGUAAUCCUAGCACUUUGGGAGGCCAAGGUGGGGCAGAUCACUUGAGGUCAGGAGUUCGAGACCAGCCUGGUCAACAGGAUGAAACCCCAUCUCUACUAAAAAUACAAAAAUUAGCCAGGUGUGGUGACACAUGCCUGUAAUCCCAGCUACUCUACUCAGGAGGCUGAGGCAGGAGAAUCGCUUGAACCUGGGAGGUGGAGGUUGCAAUGAGCCAAGAUCAUGUCACUGCACUCCAGCCUGGGUGACAGAGCAAGACUCCGUCUCAAAAAAAAAAAAAAAAAAAAAAAAAAAAAAAAAAAAAAACCACAUGCAAAGAAACUGAAGCACAGUCCAUACAUAGCGCCACUGACUCCCUAUCAAAUGUGAAACAUUUUAAGUGACGUUUCUCCACAUGGAAAAGCCUGGUGGAGAGAGAAAGGGACAGGGCAUGUUAUCACACAAACCAAGCAUUUUUCAGGAGGGUGUGCAGUGUGGGAUGUGCUACAAACUGAGGGCUCAUUGCGGACGUGCAACAGAAGGAGGGAUGCUUCUGGUGAAUUUUUAACAGAACAAGCAGUUUAUAAAAGGGCCCGUAAAAUAUUGACCCUGUUGGGGGGGGAAGCCUGUUAUAUAUGCAUGAUAAAACAGAGAAAAAUAAAAAUAGUCAACGUUUACCUGGCAUUUUCGAUGGAACAGACUCUGGU
rnacentral:lncRNA from 1 species